rnacentral:sRNA from 1 species
GGGGAUGUACCGGCUUUGACAGAGUGAUUGGUAGAUCCGGAUUGCGAGUCCGAGAGCUGUUCUCGGUUAUCAACGGGCAAAAAAAAUUAAAUGCUAACGAUAACGUUAUUGCAUUCCCUUCAAGAGCUAGACUCGCUGCCUAAUUGCAGCUAGGGACCUUCUAAGCAGCCAGCUUGCCGCGGCUUAGGAUGAGAUUAUGCAAGAUGCAGUACGCAAAUGAUGGUAUGCGUAUCAAGUUUACCAUUGGAGGUUAGGCUUCCGCAAAAAGCCUUUGACUUAAUUUAGGUUGGUAACUUUCCUUAUUGAGUCGAGCAUAAAAGUUACUACACUCGUAGAUGUCAGUUUUUAUCCGCUUUGGACAGGGGUUCAACUCCCCUCAUCUCCACCA